AAAAUUCGCAAAUUUAGUGGAGGCAAGAUGUUGGCAUAGCUGUUUCGAUUGAACAGUCAGCUGUGUCCUCAUAUUGCCCUUUCUUUGUUUGUCACCGUCAC